rnacentral:misc_RNA from 1 species
AAGUCGUAACAAGGUUUCCGUAGGUGAACCUGCGGAAGGAUCAUUAUCGAGUUUUACGGUGGCCUGAGCUGGUCUUCGGACAUGUGCUCGGCCGCAGCUCAUCCGCUCAACCCCUGUGCACUCUAGAGGUGCGGUCCCCUCUUCGGAGGGUCGACGGCGCCUCGACCUUCACUACACACCCGUAUGAAGUCCAGUCGAAUGUCUAUUCGCCACGGCGAACAAACUGAAUACAACUUUCAACAACGGAUCUCUUGGCUCUC